rnacentral:lncRNA from 1 species
GUGCGGGGACCAGAGGGAUGUGGGAUCCUGAGGAUCACUGUGGGGCACGGACGCUCAAUCCUCAGUCCCCAAGGCCGCGGCGGCGAGGCCCGGGUGGAAGGCGGCGGCGAUCCCGGGGAGGACGCGGCCGGAGUGCAGCAGGGCCAUGGUGGACCGUAGGAGGGCAGUGGGCAGCGGCAGGACGGAGCAGAGGGCGAGCGGACACACAGACAGGGAACUGGCUCCUGCUGAAGGUAAUUGUAUGACAAUGGAGAGGUGAUUACUGCGCUGAAAAUCAGUUUCCUGAAGUGAAAAAGGGAAUCAAGUUACGUCGCAGAGCCUGGCGUGAGCGGCGCUCAGUCAACACCAGCUCUUCAUGGGUUGUGGUUUCCUCCAGUUCCUGGAUGUGCGGAGUUCAUCCUCCAUUGACUGGCGCCCCGAUUGACAAUGAGGUCUGGAAAUUGGCAACUGAUGAGGGGAAGUGUAUCAGUCUGUUUUCAUGCUGCUGAUAAAGACAUACCCGAGACUGGGAAGAAAAAGAGGUUUAAUGGACUUACACUUCGACAUGGCUUGGGGAGGCCUCACAAUCAUGGU